GUGGUCAGCCAUCGUUAGGUUGGCUGGGGGCCACACCUAAGCCAGAAGUUUUUCUCCACUCCUCCUGGUUUGGGCUGGCCACCUUCCCAGCUGGGCUUGCUGUCACAGGAGAGUCCAAGGGGACGCCAGGAAGGAAACCUCUGCAGCAUCCGCUGUCCUGGGCGGGAUGAAGGGUCAGGGAUGACUGCGUUGGCCAUCAGCCAGUGGCCUGCAGCAGGGCCUUCCCUGGAAUGUGCCCUCUCCCUACCCCCAAACCCCCAGUUCCAGGCAGGGGGAGGAAGGGGCCAUGGCUAGCCCAUCCGCAGACAUCAGGGCUAAAGACCCAGCCAUAUUGGGGCUUGGCUCCCCUUGAGGCUCCUUAUAAGGUGGCAUUGGAGGCAGAUGCCCUGGGGUGCCUGGAAGGAGGCUGGUUAGCAUCUUGUAAUAGCAGAGUUAUGAGCUUGUAAAAACAUUGUAGAAUCCCUAGAAUUCAGGCCUCCAGCUGAUGCCUAAUUACUGAAGACCUACUGUGUCGAAGGCACUGUGUUGGGCCCAGGAGGUUACAGCUGGAGGGAGACAGACCCAUGGGAGCUUGUAGUCUCCCAGAGGACACAGGAAAGCAACACAUACGAUGUCACGCCAAACUGGCAUGGAUGUUACACAAAGAGGGAAGAUAAGUGGGGGGCGCCUGGCUUUAUGAUGGAGUAUUAGACAAACAAGAGACUUAUGCACUCAGAAGGGGUACCACUGAGGGGAAAGUGGGACAUAGGUGAGUUCUUUUUGGUGGGACCCUCAAACAUCAGAGACCGGAGAAGGUUCAGCCAUGUUCCAGUUUCUGAGUAUCUAAGGGAAGUUCAUUCAAGACCUCAAGUCUAACUGAAAUCACUCAUGGAUCGGCCUGGCCUCAGAGCAUCUGGGACAGGGAUGCUGAGUGAGCUGACCUGGUUUGGCAUCAGAGGAGGAGGGGCAUGAAGAUAGAUAGGUUCAUGAUAUGUAUCUUUGGCACGCACUGACAGGGCACAUGUCAGGUUCACGGUAGACUCCAGCACCUGACCUCUAAGAUGAGGACAGUGGGAGGAGCAGACCAGGGGAAGGCUGGAUGGCUUUAAUCUGAAAUGCCAUUACACAUCUUUUUUGUUUGUUUGUUUGCUUGUUUGUUAGUUUUUUUUUUUUUUUUUUGAGACAGGGUUUCUCUUUAUAGCCCUGGCUGUCCUGGAACUCACUCUGUAGACCAGGCUGGCCUCGAACUCAGAAAUCCGCCUGCCUCUGCCUCCCGAGUGCUGGGAUUAAAGGCAUGCGCCACCACCGCCGGGCACCAUUACACAUCUGGAGGUAUGGUCAGCUGAACAUGAGCUAUAAAAGAAGGAGGGGGACCCAGGGCUCCUGAUAUGUGAACAAUGAAAGCCGAAAGCACCCACAAUGGGCCAAGCCCUUCAGAGGCUUGCCACGGAAUCCCUGGAAAGUGGUACUAGGCAUUGUCCUCGCUUUGCUGAUGAGAACAUAGACAGAGGGUGUGGGGCUCUAAAAAUAACCUCCUCGAGGCCACAAAACAGUCCAGCAGGACCAGUCCAUGGUCUUAGCUGCUUGGCAGUACUGUCUCAAUCUUUCAUGUACUC
rnacentral:lncRNA from 1 species